rnacentral:ncRNA from 2 species
AAAUAAAGAUAUAGAAAAGGUGCAGACAGAGCUUGCUUUGUUUGCUUAAAAGGGAAGUCCGGUGCAAGGCCGGCGCGGUCCCGCCACUGUAUGUGAAGAGCGCUUCUACCCUAACAUGCCACUGUCCUCUUACUGGAUGGGAAGGCUGGGAAGCGUGAUGACGCACGAGCCAGGAGACCUGCCUUUUCUUAUUUUGUUUC